CCUUCUCUGCCCACGCCCCCGUCCGGCACCCUUCUGGCUUGGAGCCACUUGCAGAUAUUCUGAGGUGACACGCUGCCUCAUGCAAGCCAGAUCCAGUUAGACUUGCUUCUCUGAAGACUGUCUAUUCUUUCCCAAGAAUCGUCUGACAUCUGACUGACAGAGAGAGGAUCAUCAACAGAGACAACUUUUAUUUUGUAGAUACCUUUAAAAAAUUAAGGAUACUUCCCACUCUGACCUGGAAGGCCCCAGGAGGGGACACAGGAUUGAUGUGGAGCUAGGAAGAGGGAGCUUCACAGAUAAAGGAAGGCCCUGCCUCCCAGAACCAGCCCAGAGACUGACAAGACCGCAAUCCCAGCUCAUUACUUCAUAUCUUUCUUCAGCAAGUUACUGAUGAAGUCCUUGGCAUCGUCGGAGAUUUCAUCGAACGCCUCAUCAUCAAAGUCCCAGGUGGCAGAAGUGACAUUGGCUAAGGUCUCAUUAUCAUUGUCACCCAUGAAGGGAGACAGUCCGCUGACCCUGGGGGAGAAGAGCAGAAGAAUAAGUCACUCUGUAAGUGACUCCUAGGAUCCGCCUCAACCACCUGUGAGACUGAAGUGAAAGAUUUGAUUAAUCUACAGACUGCCAAGACAUACAAAGCAGAGCAGAGAAACCCCUUCAUCCUCCUCUUCCAUCCCAAACCUCAGGCCAGCCUUCACCUCUCAUAGGCCUUCCUUGAGUCCCUUCCUCCCACCUAGUCCUUAGUCUCCUUUAUAUACCUCCAGAUGGAGAGGGGGGAGCCAUCUAGGGAUGGCUCAUCAGAUGUGAGCCAAUAAACAUGAGGGCUUUUAAUCAGCAAGGAGGCACAGGCUUGGUGAGGCAUUUACGCUCCCCUGGAAAGCCUGUCCACAAGGCGUGCAGCAGAGGACAGAGUGCAGCGUCUUCAUUGGCUGAGUGACCUUGAGCACUUUCCCCUCCCUCUGCACCACGUUCUCUUCACGCUCUAACUACACGGUCAAGCGCCCUCCUCCUCAGCGGCAGGCACCGAACACACUUUACCACCCGCAGUGUAAAGAUCUGAAAUAGAUGAACUCAUUCAAUCUUAACACCACCCCAGAGCACAGGUAAUCUUCACUUCUUCACUAUAUGGAGAUGGUAAGCGAGGCACUGGCAGAGAAUCCGUUAGGUCAACCUGCCCAAAGAGCCCCAGACAUUGAGAUGUGAGCCCAGGAGGCCGGAUCCUCGGCAUCUCAUAUUUCUAUGCAGACUAAGGAAGCUGCGUGCAUUGCACUUGUGCUUAGGACAGCCGGUAGUUAGGGUUCUUCUGGCGCCGUGUGUAUCUUACAUUUCUUACAGAUAACCUGUACUAUCUCCCAGGAGCCUGAGCCAAACACAGUUUGCAGGGCAGUGUUCUCAGAGUCAAAUAGAACAGACCAUCCUCAUUUGUGACCUCCAUGCACCUCUUCUUCAUGCCAGUAACCCCCUCACCUUGCAUGUCAAACUAAGGGCUGGCUCUGUGGGUGUACGGCCUGCACAGCUGCCUAGAGUCCCACCCUGAGAUGGACCCCAGGCCUAGCAUUAAUGCUGUACUACUACCAUCUUUAAAUUGUUAAUAUGCUUCAACAAAUGGUUCUAUCCCUUCAGUUUGAAAAUGAUAUUCUUAGUCCUUUCUUGACCCUGUCCAAAUCCCAUGAAAUAUAGCCAGGGCCCCCUUAAGUCAGGGUUUUAUGAACAUCCUUUUUCCAAAUCGUUAUUAGUCCAUCAUCAUAAACCGCAACACGCUGACAGCUUCUGGAGCUCUUCAGCAUUCAAAAGGCCUCAGCUUAAGAAAUUUGCUUGUACCUGAACUCUGUGCUUGAACAAUACCCACUGGAAACACUGGGAGAAGACUGGCCACGGGAGGAGCCCUCUGCUGAAUGCAAGGACAAAGAAUUUAGAGUUGGUGAGUGUGUAUUUUCCCACUCUAGUUAACAAACUUGUGUUUUUGAGUAUUAACACACCAUCGUGCGUGGCUUUUCUUAAGGCAAGAUGCUGACUUAAGUCCAUGAGGGCAAUCUGAACCCUUUUUGGUCACGUACCCAUGAGGGCCUGGUAGAAAGCUACCAGUCUUUGAAUUUGCACUGAUACAUGCUACUCCAUCUUGACCCCAUAGUGACUGGGCUGGGUUUCCGAGGGACCUUUCAGUUCCCUGACCUCUGUGAUGUGUGUGGCCUAAGCAAGCUCCACCAAGAUGCAGCCUGUCUUUGCUUGUGGGCACCUGCUUCUUCUCACCUUUACAUUUUUUAUUUGAAGCAAGAAAGGGAUAAGUCCUGCAGUGCUCCAACGGACAGCAAGAAAAGCAAACAGUCACGCUGAGGAAUGCCAAAAGGGCCCCUUCUGCACGUCUCCUUUCCUAAUUAGGACUUGGAAUCCUGCAUGAUAGGUCUUAAUCACUGUCCACGUUGAAGGCACGGGGAGCCCCAGCCUCUGGCCUUGGCACUGCUCCUUCCUGGCAGCACACCCAUCUGAAACACUCUGUUCCGCCCGGUUCUCUGCUUGCCCGGGUUCCUCUUGAAUUAGAAACUUACAAUAUUGGUACACAUAGCAUGAUGGCCAAGGUAGAGUUUGGAUAUUUUAGUAAUGCUUGUGUUUCUGUUAUAUUUCUGCUUCAGUGUGUAGUAUGGUGCAGGCUGGCCUAGGAUUCAUGAUCCUCCUGCUUCUGCUUCCCAGGUGCUGGGAUUAAAGGUGUGCACAACCAUG